rnacentral:tRNA from 1 species
GGCCCUGUAGUGAAAUUCAUGUUGAGUUGCAAGCUCAUUGAUGUACGUUAAGCGCGUACCAGGGUCU